rnacentral:pre_miRNA from 1 species
UAGCCUUCUAGAUCACUGAAGAAUUAUGCCACUUUUUGUGUGGAGAUCUGAUUCAUUCAAAAAGUGGCAUAAUUCUUUAGUGAUCUGGAAGGCUA